AGAAUCAACGCUGGCGGCGUGCCUCAGACAUGCAAGUCGAACGAUUAAACUUUCCUUCGGGAAAGAUAUAAAGUGGCGCACGGGUGAGUAACACGUAAGUAAUCUGCCUUUGAGUGGGGAAUAACCCGGGGAAACCCGAGCUAAUACCGCAUAAUGCAGCGGCACCGCAAGGUGACAGUUGUUAAAGGAGCAAUCCGCUUAAAGAGGAGCUUGCGGCAGAUUAGCUAGUUGGUAAGGUAACGGCUUACCAAGGCUACGAUCUGUA
rnacentral:rRNA from 1 species